GCUGGGCGUGGUGGCGGGCGCCUGUAGUCCCAGCUACUCGGGAGGCUGAGGCAGGAGAAUCGCUUGAACCCGGGAGGCAGAGGUUGCAGUGAGCCGAGAUUGUGCCACUGCACUCCAGCCUGGGCAACAGAGUGAGACUCUGUCUCAA
rnacentral:SRP_RNA from 1 species